rnacentral:rRNA from 1 species
AUUGAACGCUGGCGGCAGGCCUAACACAUGCAAGUCGAACGGUAACAGGGAUCAGCUUGCUGAUUCGCUGACGAGUGGCGGACGGGUGAGUAAUGUCUGGGAAACUGCCUGAUGGAGGGGGAUAACUACUGGAAACGGUAGCUAAUACCGCAUAACGUCGCAAGACCAAAGAGGGGGACCUUCGGGCCUCUUGCCAUCGGAUGUGCCCAGAUGGGAUUAGCUAGUAGGUGGGGUAACGGCUCACCUAGGCGACGAUCCCUAGCUGGUCUGAGAGGAUGACCAGCCACACUGGAACUGAGACACGGUCCAGACUCCUACGGGAGGCAGCAGUGGGGAAUAUUGCACAAUGGGCGCAAGCCUGAUGCAGCCAUGCCGCGUGUAUGAAGAAGGCCUUCGGGUUGUAAAGUACUUUCAGCGGGGAGGAAGGGAGUAAGGUUAAUACCUUUGCUCAUUGACGUUACCCGCAGAAGAAGCACCGGCUAACUCCGUG